CUCAAGCACACUUAACUGUG
rnacentral:snRNA from 1 species